AUUGAACGCUGGCGGCAUGCCUUACACAUGCAAGUCGAACGGCAGCACGGGAGCAAUCCUGGUGGCGAGUGGCGAACGGGUGAGUAAUGUAUCGGAACGUGCCUUGUCGUGGGGGAUAACGUAGCGAAAGCUACGCUAAUACCGCAUACCAUCUAAGGAUGAAAGCGGGGGAUCGCAAGACCUCGCGCGACAAGAGUGGCCGAUAUCAGAUUAGGUUGUUGGUGGGGUAAAGGCCUACCAAGCCGACGAUCUGUAGCUGGUCUGAGAGGACGACCAGCCACACUGGGACUGAGACACGGCCCAGACUCCUACGGGAGGCAGCAGUGGGGAAUUUUGGACAAUGGGCGAAAGCCUGAUCCAGCAAUGCCGCGUGCAGGAUGAAGGCCUUCGGUUGCAAACUGCUUUGUACAGAACGAAACAAGUCUCUCCUAAUACGGGGG
rnacentral:rRNA from 1 species